AAUCAACUGUCCAAUAAGCCAUACAAACAAAUAAGACAUACAAACACCAAAACCAAGACCAAUUCACAAGACCAAGUCAAGAAGAAAUUUUAGAGAUGAAAAUUAAAACAAAAGAUGAGUAUUCCUCAUCUUUUUAAGAAUUUAUAAAUCAAAGCAUCUUAUUUCAAGGAAAUUUCCAAGCACAACCACCAACAUACAGGUCUUAUUCAUUGCCAAUUUCAACAUAACAUUGAGAAUUUCUCCACCCACUAAUAUUGCUAAAUAUCGACAUUAUUGAGAAUUUUGGUGGGUAGGUGACCUAAAUUAUGAGUUAGGCUUAACUCUUAGGUAUAGGGUAAGAAUCAAAUUAGUAAACUCCCCAUACCAUUUCAUUACCAUUCAGCCUGUUGUGAUACAAUAUGUGGAACGGUACGUUUUGUCAAAUAAGUAAAACAAAUGUCCAGCUGUUGUGCCAGUUCAAUAUAGCUGUUGAAGAGUUGUUAUGGUUGUCGGUAUUCUGUUAGUUCAGUAGCAAAAUGCAAGGUAGUUUGUUACAGGAGCAGGAAUGUGAAGAAGUUGUUGUGAAUUGUUAGAUAUGUUAGCUUUAAAGUUCAACCAUGUACAAAUUCAUUCUUGAUUCUUAACGAAGAUUUGAUUGAUUGUUGAUUCCAUUCUCUGUAUAUUCUGUUCUUCCUAAUUUCUACCACAACACAAGCAUAGACUAAGCACCAAAUAAAUCUGCUACCUGAUCAAUAGAUUAUCAGAACCAAUAACCUGUUUGAACAAUAACCCUUAAACGGACAGAGCUCAA
rnacentral:misc_RNA from 1 species